GCUCAGGAUGAACGCUAGCUACAGGCUUAACACAUGCAAGUCGAGGGGUAGCAGGGUAGCAAUACCGCUGACGACCGGCGCACGGGUGAGUAACACGUAUCCAACCUUCCCAUAACUCGGGGAUAGCCUUUCGAAAGAAAGAUUAAUACCUGAUAGUACUUAAGAAAGGCAUCUUUUUUAAGUUAAAGAUUUAUUGGUUAUGGAUGGGGAUGCGUUCCAUUAGAUAGUUGGUGAGGUAACGGCUCACCAAGUCUUCGAUGGAUAGGGGUUCUGAGAGGAAGGUCCCCCACAUUGGUACUGAGACACGGACCAAACUCCUACGGGAGGCAGCAGUGAGGAAUAUUGGUCAAUGGGCGAGAGCCUGAACCAGCCAA
rnacentral:rRNA from 1 species